CAGGGGGGAAUUCCCCGUAGUAGCGGCGAGCGAAGCGGGAAAAGCUCAAAUUUGUAAUCUGGCGUCUACGACGUCCGAGUUGUAAUCUCGAGAAGUGUUUUCCGUGAUAGACCGCAUACAAGUCUCUUGGAACAGAGCGUCAUAGUGGUGAGAACCCAGUACACGAUGCGGAUGCCUAUUACUUUGUGAUACACUUUCGAAGAGUCGAGUUGUUUGGGAAUGCAGCUCAAAUUGGGUGGUAAAUUCCAUCUAAAGCUAAAUAUUGGCGAGAGACCGAUAGCGAACAAGUACCGUGAGGGAAAGAUGAAAAGCACUUUGGAAAGAGAGUUAACAGUACGUGAAAUUGUUGGAAGGGAAACACAUGCAGCCAGACUUGCUAUUCGGGGCAACUCGAUUGGCAGGCCCGCAUCAGUUUUUCGGGGCGGAAAAUCAUAGAGAGAAGGUAGCAAUUUCGGUUGUGUUAUAGCUCUUUAUUGGAUUCGCCCUGGGGGACUGAGGAACGCAGCGUGCUUUUAGCAUAAGCUUCGGCUUAUCCACGCUUAGGAUGCGGGUGUAAUGGCUGUAUAUGACCCGUCUUGAAACCACGGACCA
rnacentral:rRNA from 1 species